rnacentral:rRNA from 1 species
AAGUCCCGUAACGAGCGCAACCCUCGUCUUUAGUUGCUACCAUUUAGUUGGGCACUCUAAAGAAACUGCCGGUGAUAAGCCGGAGGAAGGUGGGGAUGACGUCAAGUCCUCAUGGCCCUUACGCGCUGGGCUACACACGUGCUACAAUGGCGGUGACAGUGGGCAGCAAACUCGCGAGAGUGAGCAAAUCCCCAAAAACCGUCUCAGUUCGGAUUGUUCUCCGCAACUCGAGAGCAUGAAGGCGGAAUCGCUAGUAAUCGCGGAUCAGCAUGCCGCGGUGAAUACGUUCCCAGGCCUUGUACACACCGCCCGU